UACGUAGGGCGCGAGCGUUAUCCGGAAUUAUUGGGCGUAAAGAGCUCGUAGGCGGUUUGUCACGUCUGCUGUGAAAACUGGAGGCUCAACCUCCAGCCUGCAGUGGGUACGGGCAGACUAGAGUGCGGUAGGGGAGAUUGGAAUUCCUGGUGUAGCGGUGGAAUGCGCAGAUAUCAGGAGGAACACCGGUGGCGAAGGCGGGUCUCUGGUCUGUAACUGACGCUGAGGCGCGAAAGCGUGGGGAGCAAACAGG
rnacentral:rRNA from 1 species